rnacentral:rRNA from 1 species
UACGUAGGGGGCAAGCGUUGUCCGGAAUCACUGGGCGUAAAGCGCGCGCAGGCGGCUGUCUACGUCCGGGGUGAAAGCCCAGAGCUCAACUCUGGGAUUGCCUUGGAUACGGGAUGGCUUGAGGAUCGGAGAGGUAAGCGGAAUUCCUGGUGUAGCGGUGAAAUGCGUAGAUAUCAGGAGGAACACCUGUGGUGUAGACAGCUUACUGGACCACUUCUGACGCUGAGACACGAAAGCGUGGGUAGCAAACAGG